UGGGACGUCGCCAAGCUGGUAAGGCACGGGGUUUUGAUCCCCGCAUUCGCAGGUUCGAGUCCUGCCGUCCCAGCCA
rnacentral:tRNA from 1 species